rnacentral:rRNA from 1 species
GACGAACGCUGGCGGCGUGCUUAACACAUGCAAGUCGAACGGAAAGGCCCUGCUUUUUUGGGGUUCUCGAAUGGCGAACGGGUGAGUAACACGUGAGUAGCCUGCCCUUGACUGUGGGAUAACUUCAGGAAACUGGGGCUAAUACCGGAUAGGAGCUCCUGCUGCAUGGUGGGGGUUGGAUAGGUGCGGCGGGUGGGGAUGUACUCGCGGCUGAUCAGCUUGUUGGUGGGGUAGUGGCUUACCAAGGCUUUGACGGGAAGCCGGCCUGUGAGGGUGACCGGACACAUUGGGACUGAGAGAGGGGCCAGAGUCCUACGGGAGGCAGCAGUGGGGAAUGUUGCACAAUGGGCGGAAGCCUGAAGCAGGAACGCCGCGUGCGGGAUGACGGCCUUCGGGUUGUAAACCGCUUUCGCCUGUGACGAAGCGGGAGUGACGGUAAUGGGUAAAGAAGCACCGGCUAACUACGUG